AAAAAAAAGACAAAAAAAA
rnacentral:sRNA from 1 species